rnacentral:rRNA from 1 species
CAGUAGCCACGGUAAUACGGAGGGUGCAAGCGUUAAUCGGAAUUACUGGGCGUAAAGCGCACGCAGGCGGUCUGUCAAGUCAGAUGUGAAAUCCCCGGGCUUAACCUGGGAACUGCAUUUGAAACUGGCAGGCUAGAGUCUUGUAGAGGGGGGUAGAAUUCCAGGUGUAGCGGUGAAAUGCGUAGAGAUCUGGAGGAAUACCGGUGGCGAAGGCGGCCCCCUGGACAAAGACUGACGCUCAGGUGCGAAAGCGUGGGGAGCAAACAGGAUUAGAUACCCGCGUAGUCCCUGUCUCUUAUAA